UACGGAGGAUGCAAGCGUUAUCCGGAAUCAUUGGGCGUAAAGCGUCCGUAGGUGGCUGUUCAAGUCUGCGGUCAAAGCACAAGGCUUAACCUUGUAAAGGCCGUGGAAACUGAAAAGGCUAGAGUGCGGUAGGGGUAGAGGGAAUUCCUGGUGUAGCGGUGAAAUGCGCAGAUAUCAGGAGGAACACCGGUGGCGAAGGCGGGUCUCUGGGCAAUAACUGACGCUGAGGAGCGAAAGCGUGGGGAGCGAACAGG
rnacentral:rRNA from 1 species